UACGGGGGGAGCAAGCGUUGUUCGGAUUUACUGGGCGUAAAGGGCGCGUAGGCGGCCACCGCAAGUCGACUGUGAAAUCUCCGGGCUUAACUCGGAAAGGUCAGCCGAUACUGCGGGGCUAGAGUGCAGAAGGGGCAACUGGAAUUCUCGGUGUAGCGGUGGAAUGCGCAGAUAUCAGGAGGAACACCAAUAGCGAAGGCAGCUCGCUGGGACGGUACUGACGCUAAGGCGCGAAAGCGUGGGGAGCGAACAGG
rnacentral:rRNA from 1 species